AUUGAACGCUGGCGGCAGGCCUAACACAUGCAAGUCGAGCGGAUGAAGGGAGCUUGCUCCUGGAUUCAGCGGCGGACGGGUGAGUAAUGCCUAGGAAUCUGCCUGGUAGUGGGAGAUAAUGUCCGGAAACGGGCGCUAAUACCGCAUACGUCCUGAGGGAGAAAGUGGGGGAUCUUCGGACCUCACGCUAUCAGAUGAGCCUAGGUCGGAUUAGCUAGUUGGUGGGGUAAAGGCCUACCAAGGCGGCGAUCCGUAACUGGUCUGAGAGGAUGAUCAGUCACACUGGAACUGAGACACGGUCCAGACUCCUACGGGAGGCAGCAGUGGGGAAUAUUGGACAAUGGGCGAAAGCCUGAUCCAGCCAUGCCGCGUGUGUGAAGAAGGUCUUCGGAUUGUAAAGCACUUUAAGUUGGGAGGAAGGGCAGUAAGUUAAUACCUUGCUGUUUUGACGUUACCAACAGAAUAAGCACCGGCUAACUUCGUG
rnacentral:rRNA from 1 species